AGCGAACGCUGGCGGCAGGCCUAACACAUGCAAGUCGAACGAACCCUUCGGGGUUAGUGGCGGACGGGUGAGUAACACGUGGGAACGUGCCUUUAGGUUCGGAAUAACUCAGGGAAACUUGUGCUAAUACCGAAUGUGCCCUUCGGGGGAAAGAUUUAUCGCCUUUAGAGCGGCCCGCGUCUGAUUAGCUAGUUGGAGAGGUAAUGGCUCACCAAGGCUACGAUCAGUAGCUGGUCUGAGAGGAUGACCAGCCACAUUGGGACUGAGACACGGCCCAAACUCCUACGGGAGGCAGCAGUGGGGAAUCUUGCGCAAUGGCGAAAGCCUGACGCAGCCAUGCCGCGUGGAUGAUGAAGGUCUUAGGAUUGUAAAAUCCUUUCACCGGUGAAGAUAAUGACUGUAGCCGGAGAAGAAGCCCCGGCUAACUUCGUGCCAGCCGCCGCCGUAAUAC
rnacentral:rRNA from 1 species